GUCUCUGUGGUGCAAUUGGUUAGCAUGUUCAGCUGUUAACUGAAAGGUUGGUGGUUCAAGCCCACCCAGGGAUG
rfam:Leptosomus discolor contig11616, whole genome shotgun sequence.